AUUGCAGCGGGAGGAGUUCGUGACGACGAUCUCGACAGAUCUUAGAUGAGGAUUCAACAACCGCAAUCAAUUUGCUGCCUUCCUUUUUCGGCUCGGCGGACACGCCAUUCUUCUGCCAGGACGUCCGGCGGCGGCAUCCGGGAAUUGAUUCAUCGUCGACUGAGGGUAAACCGUAAACGGACUCCAUUGAUCAACAGGGCUCUGAUUCUCGACAACAUUACCCCGAUUCGAUUCCUGUUCAAAAAAUAGGAGAAGAAUCAAACAUCUUCCAAGAUGAAGGUAAAAGUUUCGCCACUCCUGCAAAUGAGAAGAAAUGUCAAGAAUAGAGAAUAGUCCGAUGUCUAAUUCAUGGCAUUACCUUCGUUCACCACCGCCAAAUCGACCGGAAUUGGAGUUCAUUGUGUUUGAAAAUCAGAAUUUCUCUGCACGUAGAAAUGGACGGGCGCCGAAUCUACGUCUGCGUAUCCGAUCCAUUUCUGUUUAGUCUGUAAACAAAAAUGAUUUAGAUCAAACAAUGACAAUUGAAAGAAAAACACGUCACCGUACCAUUUUGAUUGGGAUAGAGAUCACAGUAAACGGUUUCCAUCUUCUUCGAUCCCUUGACGGAAUAAAAUCCGCUCAGUUUGUGUCCCAUUCUCUGCAGAUCUUCACACGAGGUGGGAGUGACAGUCAAUUCUGCGUGUUCCAUCAUUUUUAUUGCUGACGACAGUUCAGCGGUCGUGUAACGGACACGAACGUUGCGAUCCGCUGAAACGAUUGGGGAAUCACGAAAUUUGGCCAAAUUGAUUGGGCUCAAUUGCAUCGGUUUGGGCACAAAUUUCUCUCCGUCCCAUUGGACGUGGUCUCUACUUUCUUGUAAUAUUUUCUCCGCGUCUUCCUUAGAAAUGUUGACCUUGUUGGAACCAUCGAGAUCGUUUGCCAUUUUCUCUGAAAUAAUUGAACUGACACUACCUACGUCAUCCCAACUGUUUGAGUCGUAAUUGUGUUGGAUGUUUUCUUUAUUCUCUGAUUUUCUGUCAUAUUCUUCUGAAUUAUUCCUUGACUUGUCAGUUUUCUCGUUUGUCAUCUUUUAUUUUGUUUUUCAUUCGCAUCUUUCGUUUGAUUUGAUUGUUUAAUAGUUUCUCCUUCUCGUUUUAUAUCCGCGUCCUGAGUACCCGAAAGCAUUUCCUUUUUUAACCAACCAUUUCUCCACAUCAGAAAUUUGCUAAAAAUUUGCACCGCCUGAAAAUAAACAGUAGGCCUAUAACAAAUGAGUGAUUUGAAAAUAAAGUUGAACUUGUAAAUUUAUUUAGGCCUACCUCUGUAGUCUGCACACAUUUCAUGUAUACAAAGAAGUCGUUCCAAAAAUGUUUUAAUAUAACGGCCACAUCUAUCAAAAAUCUAAAGCAAAUUAGCUACACAUGCCCAAAUAUCUAUUUUAUAAGUAGAAAAGAAUAAGAGAAUAAGAAGGGAACUCACCGUUUAACGUGUGUGUAAAACAGGAAUCCAUUAAAUAAAUCCGAAUAUGUGUUGUCACAAAUUCUCACACUGAAUCACUCACAAACAUAUUCACACGCUGCACGAAAGAAAUCGAAUGACAAAACGUCAAAGAAAAGAAUAUCCAAAACAAUCUGGCCGCAGCGCCUCUGACGGGGGUAGUAGCCCAGCAGUCAUAAAUGAUUAAAUGGGGUAGAAAGGGGCUGACGUUGCUCCGGGAGAUUCAAUACUACACCAAGAGGCAAAAGAAUAAUACAGUAGCGCAACGUCAGACUGCAGGCAGAGCACCUAGCGGUUUGAUUUGCUCCAGCAAAGCUGUAAGAUACAAAAGUGAAAUUUAAGAAAGCGCAAUUUCAGAUUGAAUUAAUUUAUUUUCCCGUAUUUAGUAGAAAAUUACACAUACUAGGACUAUUUAACAGUUACACAACAUAAUAUAGGAGGCCAACUCAUACUCAUGCAUAAUUUGCUACAAGCUAUACAGCUAAAAGCAUAACAGCUAAAAUGGUUAUUGGCCCCCGGGAUCCGGAGGCCAAUAGUUUUUUUUCCCUUUUUAGAAUUUGUUUUGAAGUUAUCAGUUAUAACUUAUGAAAGUUACGACGUGUAAUCUGUAGACUGUAAUGUCAUAUUGUCUGUCAGUCUGUGACUGUGAGCGCAUGCUGACUGCUGAGUCUGUGACUGUGCAAGUGCAACUAACUUAAGAUUCAAAACUUGACUACUAGAUGUCGGCAGUGUCGGCCAUGUUGUUCCUACAUCGUGAAACGAGGCAAAAUUUGGGCGGAAUGGGCGAAACAAAUUGUUGCUAAUUUAUACUUAAAUUCCUGUGUUUUCAAAUACCGAGUUGAACUUCGUAUCUUUUUCAGAUGCAUAGGCUACUGUCAGUCAUUCCAACAAGUUUUUACUGAUGAGCGCCAAGAAACUUUCCAUCCAUUAGAUCCUCAUGCUGUCAAAAGCCUAAAAAGUUUGAAGCCCACAUACAGUGGAAUACAAAUGUGUGGAGAUAAGAUAUUUUCCCAUUACUGCUACCACAACAACCACACCACGUCAAAUGCCUUUCUAAAUUCAUCACCCAUAUGAUAAAGCAUCACGAAAUUUAUCUCAAAAGGUGGAGUAAUGCUGUUCGCUGUUGGUUGCUGUGAAUUCCGUUUUUACAGUAUUUUCAUCAUGGACAUUUCAGUGUGCUUCUCAGAGAAGAGCAUGCAAGAUCCCCAUCGUGGAUCUUCAUUUUUGGUAUUGUUCAUUUUUAUUAGUUAACCCGUUGGCUGCUACCAUUUGCUUCUCCAUGAUCGAAGAUACAUAAGCCUCAAAUAUCCAAUAACAUUCAGCACAUUUUGAAUGUUUAUUUAAGGAUCACGACAUUGCCAUUGUGGUUUUGAGUUCGCCACUGAAAAACAUCCGGUUCAGCUCACUUCCCACGAAACCAGCCAAUUCAUCAACUUUUAGUACUUACCAGAACAAGACAGCCGUCGCUACUGGAUGGGGGGCAACACAAUCAGGCAGUUUUUCGUGGUUCUUGUUGAAAGCGAACCUUACAAUUCAAACUACUGCAAACUGCCUCAAACAGUACCCCACCGAUUUUAAUGCUGUUUUUAAGAUGUGCGCUAAGGGAUUGCGCAGCCAAACUACGUGCCUGGGCGAUAGUGGUGGUCCCCUAAUGGUUAGCGGAGUUCAGGUGGGUAUCGUCAGUUAUGGCAAAGGUGCGUGUGAUUCCAGCCCGUCCGUAUUCACCCGAGUAUCUCCAUAUCUGAACUGGAUUUCCAGCAAACCGUUGGCUUGGAGUAUCCCUUGAUGAUGGACGACUCGGCCCUUCCUCACCUUCCUUGUAUUUCUUCCUAUCGUCCUCGUGUAGCCUACAUCCAUGAGAUGUCCCCAAUUGCCCAGUGAUACUUGCCCUUCAUCCUCCAAGGUAGGACACAUUUAUUUUUCACUAUUUGCGGGUCA
rnacentral:lncRNA from 1 species